rnacentral:misc_RNA from 1 species
AACUUUUAGCAACGGAUCUCUUGGCUCUCGCAUCGAUGAAGAACGCAGCGAAAUGCGAGAAGUAAUGUGAAUUGCAGAAUUCAGUGAAUCAUCGAAUCUUUGAACGCACCUUGCGCUCCUUGGUAUUCCGAGGAGCAUGCCUGUUUGAGUGUCAUUAAAUUCUCAACCUUCCAACUUUUAUUAGCUUGGAUAGGCUUGGAUGUGGGGGUUGCAGGCUUCAUCAAUGAGGUCAGCUCUUCUUAAAUGCAUUAGCGGAACUUUUGUGGACCGUCUAUUGGUGUGAUAAUUAUCUACGACGUGGAUGAGAAACAGCUUUAUCAAGUUCAGCUUCUAACCGUCCAUUGACUUGGACAAUUUUGACAAUUUGACCUCAAAUCAGGUAGGACUACCCGCUGAACUUAAGCAUAUCAAUAAGCGGAGGAU